UGAAUAUAAUGAAAAAGAAGAUUAAGAAGAUUAAGUGUCUGAUUGGUAUUAUGCAAUUCAAAUACAUUACAUUAAAAUGGUUUUGUUUUUUUACAAUUUGUUCGUGUGUGUGUGUGUGUGUGUGUGCUUGCCAUACAUCAGGAAAAUUCCUGGCAUGUCCUAGUUUUCAG